UUUGUUUUAGUAUAAUAAAGUACAAAAAUUUUUGAAAUUUUUAGAAAAAGUUUGAGUCUUUUAAACCAAA
rnacentral:tRNA from 1 species